UACGUAGGGUGCAAGCGUUGUUCGGAAUUACUGGGCGUAAAGGGCUCGUAGGCGGCCAACUAAGUCAGACGUGAAAUCCCUCGGCUUAACCGGGGAACUGCAUCUGAUACUGGAUGGCUUGAGUUCGGGAGAGGGAUGCGGAAUUCCAGGUGUAGCGGUGAAAUGCGUAGAUAUCUGGAGGAACACCGGUGGCGAAGGCGGCAUCCUGGACCGACACUGACGCUGAGGAGCGAAAGCCAGGGGAGCAAAGCGGG
rnacentral:rRNA from 1 species